ensembl:lncRNA
AGAAAGAGUAAAUUGUAGAGGUGAUAGCAGUAGUGCUGCUAUCUUCAGGGGAAAGAAAGGGAGCAAGUCUGGUCCUUGGUUUGCCCCCUGGGAUGUUGCUGUCCACUGAACCCCUGAAAAUCAGCUGAUGGCAGUGUGAGUACAUUCUGAGGUGCCAAAACCUCACUAAGAUCAUCACACCUGGAAGAACUAGCAAGCAAACCCUGCAGAAUUCAAAUCAGUGGUAUCACACAAAGGACCACAUUCCACAGCAUCCAGUUAGGAGACUGAUCUGGGAUAUGCGUACCUUUGACUUCAUCAUACCCAGUGCCACUGAGAAUACACAUCUGAUGGUUAGUUUCUGUAUUGUGUUUUAUUUCAGGGGGUUAAUUGAACAAUGACAUUAAGAUGUUCUAAAGAUUUGUGUCUCCA